CUAAAAGUUGACCUGUAACCUGAUGAGAAAAGACUUUUUGUCAUCAAGGUUACAGGUCACCUUUUUG